UACGUAGGGUGCGAGCGUUAAUCGGAAUUACUGGGCGUAAAGCGUGCGCAGGCGGUUUUGUAAGCCAGAUGUGAAAGCCCCGGGCUUAACCUGGGAAUGGCAUUUGGGACUGCAAGGCUUGAGUGCGGCAGAGGAGACUGGAAUUCCUGGUGUAGCAGUGAAAUGUGUAGAUAUCAGGAGGAAUACCGAUGGCGAAGGCAAGUCUCUGGGCUGACACUGACGCUCAUGCACGAAAGCGUGGGGAGCAAACAGG
rnacentral:rRNA from 1 species